AACGAACGCUGGCGGCAUGCCUAACACAUGCAAGUCGAACGAGACCUUCGGGUCUAGUGGCGCACGGGUGCGUAACGCGUGGGAACCUGCCUUUAGGUUCGGAAUAACUCAGAGAAAUUUGAGCUAAUACCGGAUAAAUGUCUUCGGACCAAAGAUUUAUCGCCUUUAGAUGGGCCCGCGUUGGAUUAGCUAGUUGGUGGGGUAAAGGCCUACCAAGGCGACGAUCCAUAGCUGGUCUGAGAGGAUGAUCAGCCACACUGGGACUGAGACACGGCCCAGACUCCUACGGGAGGCAGCAGUGGGGAAUAUUGGGCAAUGGGCGAAAGCCUGAUCCAGCCAUGCCGCGUGUGUGAAGAAGGGUCUUCGGAUUGUAAAGCACUUUAAGUUGGGAGGAAGGGUAGUAACCUAAUACGUUGCUACUUUGACGUUACCGACAGAAUAAGCACCGGCUAACUUCGUAGCCAGCAGCCGCGGUAAAGUGACUACUG
rnacentral:rRNA from 1 species